rnacentral:lncRNA from 1 species
AUUUAUGUAUGUAUACACACACAUCUAUCUAUCUAUCUAUCUAUCUAUCUAUCUAUCUAUCUAUCUAUCCAUCCAUUAAGAUGCCCUUCAUGUUGCUUGCUUGAAGUGUAUUCAACUCAAUCUACCCCCUGCCCCUCUGUUCUCUGCCUAUCUUUCUGCCAAGUCUAAUUAAUACCUGCCUCCCUGAGAUAACUUCUCUAUUAGGCGGACAGUUUGGGGCCCACUCCUACUUAUAUUAUAUAUCAAUCUCUUGAGUCUUGCUUCCAUACAUUCUUGCAACAAGCCCUUUACUGGAAGUUUCCUCAGUGUGUUCCAGUGUAUGUCUCAGGAACCCAGAGGUGCAGUUGUGAUUCCAAGUGUCUCAGGCACUUACUUCAGUCCACUGCCUUGGAGUGGCGUCCGUCCCAGUCGGCCAAUGGGGCGCGGCUUGAGGAAAAGAAAGUAGAAUUUGGGGCUGUGGCUUUAUCUGAAUUUGGAUCCUGGGAUGCAGGGCUGAAGAGGACUCUGUGUGAAUGUCACUGCAGCAACAUGGAACUUCUUGAGGUGGAGCCCUGGCCUUUGGCUCUGAGGCCGGUGGACCAGACUCUACCAGCUACACAGCAAUGCCAGAGAGAAUCUUCUGGGCAGAAAGGGAUGAUGUUGUAUCCUAACCCCCAAGUAAUGGAAAGGUAGGAGGUAAAAGAGAGAGCCUGCGCCAGGAUGACAAGAAGCAGGCACAGUUCCCACCGAGUCCACAAUGGCUGCGGGUCUCAUCUGUUGACAGGACAGGGAAAUAAUACCAGACUCUGAGGUCAUAGAUUCUCGGGCUACCGAAGUCACCCUGGG